rnacentral:misc_RNA from 1 species
GUAGGUGAACCUGCGGAAGGAUCAUUACUGAGUUAGGGUCAUCACUGGCCCGACCUCCCACCCUUUGUCUACUUAUCUUAUGUUGCUUCGGCGAGCCCGUACUUUGAAAUAUAAGUACCGCCGGGGGUCUUUAGGCCUCUGGUCAGUGCCCGUCGAUAGCCAUUAUUAAACUCUUGUUUAACUGUGUUGUCUAAGUAAAAAGCACUUAAUAAAUUAAAACUUUCAACAACGGAUCUCUUGGUUUUGGCAU